GACGAACGCUGGCGGCGUGCUUAACACAUGCAAGUCGAACGGAAAGGCCCUGCAUUUGUGGGGUGCUCGAGUGGCGAACGGGUGAGUAACACGUGAGUAACCUGCCCUUGACUUUGGGAUAACUUCAGGAAACUGGGGCUAAUACCGGAUAGGAGCUCCUGCUGCAUGGUGGGGGUUGGAAAGUUUCGGCGGUUGGGGAUGGACUCGCGGCUUAUCAGCUUGUUGGUGGGGUAGUGGCUUACCAAGGCUUUGACGGGUAGCCGGCCUGAGAGGGUGACCGGCCACAUUGGGACUGAGGUACGGCCCAGACUCCUACGGGAGGCAGCAGUGGGGAACAUUGCACAAUGGGCGGAAGCCUGGUGCAGCAACGCCGCGUGCGGGAUCACGGCCUUCGGGUUGUAAACCGCUUUAGCCUGUGACGAAGCGUGAGUGACGGUAAUGGGUAAAGAAGCACCGGCUAACUACGUG
rnacentral:rRNA from 1 species